rnacentral:pre_miRNA from 1 species
CAAAAGACCUGGAAAGACACUUUAUGUCCAAUGUUUAAUCGUUCGCUUUAUUUAAAUUUUUUUAUAAUUAGUGUUUGUUUUGCUAUUAGAUAAUAUAAAACAUGAAUAAUACUUUAUGUAUGACUAAUUUAUUUUAUUUUUUUCAUAUAUUUUAUAAAUAAGAUAGACGGUCAAAUAUUGGACAUGGAAACCAUAAUUACGCUUAAA